CCAGGCGCCCAGGGAGCGGCCCGCGCUCGGAUCUCGCCCGCCUGCGCGCGCGCUCGCCUGCUCGGGAUGGCCGGCUACCUGCGGGCCGCGCGCUCGCUCUGCAGAGCCCCGGGCACGGCCUGGGCGCCGGCGGCCCUGACAGCCCCCACCGCGCGAGAGCAGCCGCGGCGCCACUAUGCUGACAAGAGGAUCAAAGUGGCGAAGCCGGUGGUGGAGAUGGAUGGUGAUGAGAUGACCCGGAUCAUCUGGCAGUUCAUCAAGGAGAAGCUCAUCCUGCCCCACGUGGACGUCCAGCUCAAGUAUUUUGACCUUGGGCUCCCAAACCGUGACCAGACCAACGACCAGGUCACCAUCGACUCUGCAUUGGCCACCCAGAAGUACCACGUGGCUGUCAAGUGUGCCACCAUCACCCCUGAUGAGGCCCGCGUGGAAGAGUUCAAACUGAAGAAGAUGUGGAAAAGUCCGAAUGGAACCAUCCGGAACAUCCUUGGGGGGACUGUCUUCCGGGAGCCCAUCAUCUGCAAAAACAUCCCACGCCUCGUGCCUGGCUGGACCAAGCCUAUCACCAUUGGCAGGCAUGCCCAUGGCGACCAGUACAAGGCCACAGACUUCGUGGCGGAUCGCGCUGGCACGUUCAAGAUGGUCUUCACCCCGAAGGACGGCAGCAGUGCCAAGGAGUGGGAGGUGUACAACUUCCCUGCGGGUGGCGUGGGCAUGGGCAUGUACAACACCGACGAGUCCAUCUCGGGCUUUGCGCACAGCUGCUUCCAGUACGCCAUCCAGAAGAAGUGGCCGCUGUACAUGAGCACCAAGAACACCAUUCUGAAAGCCUACGACGGGCGUUUCAAGGACAUCUUCCAGGAGAUCUUUGACAAGCACUAUAAGACGGACUUCGACAAGAAUAAGAUCUGGUAUGAGCACCGGCUCAUUGACGACAUGGUGGCUCAGGUCCUCAAGUCUUCGGGCGGCUUCGUGUGGGCUUGCAAGAACUAUGACGGAGACGUGCAGUCAGACAUCCUGGCCCAGGGUUUCGGCUCCCUGGGCCUGAUGACCUCUGUGCUGGUCUGCCCGGAUGGGAAGACCAUUGAGGCUGAGGCGGCUCACGGGACAGUCACCCGCCACUAUCGGGAGCACCAGAAGGGCCGGCCAACCAGCACCAACCCCAUCGCCAGCAUCUUCGCCUGGACGCGUGGCCUGGAGCACCGGGGCAAGCUGGACGGGAGCCAGGACCUCAUCAGGUUUGCCCAGACCCUGGAGAAGGUGUGCGUCGAGACAGUGGAGAGUGGAGCCAUGACCAAGGACCUGGCGGGCUGCAUCCAUGGCCUCAGCAACGUGAAGCUGAACGAGCACUUCCUGAACACCACGGACUUCCUGGACACCAUCAAGAGCAACCUGGACAGAGCUCUGGGCAAGCAGUAGGGAGGCGCUGGCCAGCUGCCGCGGUGGCCAGGCCGCGGCGGGUCCUCCGACACGCGGCGGAGGGAUCGUCCUCUCUCUAUGCAAUGAUCGCCUUCCACUUUUUGGUGUGAAAACGUCCAGGGGAAGAGUGGCAUCAUCUCUGCGAAGUCCUUUUCCUAAAUACUGGGGGGACUCUGAAACCCGGCGGCUGGGAACCAUCACUGCAGACUCCAGCGGCUUUGGGAUGGGCUCCCGCCCCCCGCCCACAUCAGCAGCCCCUUCCUCUCAGCUCCCAGGCAGUAGGGAAAGUGAGUGCUGGCUCUGGCUUCCUGCCUUCUUUUGCCUGUCACCAGAAAAGGGCU